rnacentral:piRNA from 1 species
UAGGAAUGGUAUAAGCUUUACAAUGAGUAC